GACGAACGCUGGCGGGAUGCCUUACACAUGCAAGUCGAACGGAGUGGCGAACGGGUGAGUAAUGUAUCGGAACGUGCCCCGUAGCGGGGGAUCACUACGCGAAAGCGUAGCUAAUACCGCAUACUAUUGGCGCGGCCGAUAUCGGAGUAGCUGGUUGGUGGGGUAACGGUUCAGCAAGGCAACGAUCCGUAGCUGGGUUGAGAGGACGACCAGCCACACUGGGACUGAGACACGGCCCAGACUCCUACGGGAGGCAGCAGUGGGGAAUUUUGGACAAUGGGGGAAACCCUGAUCCAGCCAUCCCGCGUGUGCGAUGAAGGCCUUCGGGUUGUAAAGCACUUUUGGCAGGAAAGCGGUACCUGAAGAAUAAGCACCGGCUAACUACGUGCCAGCAGCCGCGGUAAUAC
rnacentral:rRNA from 1 species